AUUGAACGCUGGCGGCAGGCCUAACACAUGCAAGUCGAGCGGCUCGGCGGACGCGUGAGUCAUGCCUAGGUAUCUGCCUGUUAGUGGGGGAUAACGUCCGGAAACGGGCGCUAUUACCGCAUACUAUUAGCUGCGCAUAGGUCGGAUUGGCUAGUUGGUGGGGGAACGGCCUACCAAGGCGACGAUCCGUAACUGGUCUGAGAGGAUGAUCAGUCACACUGGAACGUAGACACGGGCCAUACUCCUACGGGAGGCAGCAGUGGGGAAUAUUGGACAAUGGGCGAAAGCCUGAUCCAGCCAUGCCGCGUGUGUGAAGAAGGUCUUCGGGUUGUAAAGCACGUUCAGUUGGGAGGCGUUACCAACAGAAUAAGCACCGGCUAACUUCGUGCCAGCAGCCGCGGUAAUUC
rnacentral:rRNA from 1 species